CACGGACACACACACACAGGGAAUACAGCCAGGGGCAGAGGUUGGAAUUAUGGCGCCAUAAGCCACAUUGUAUGGCAUUCUUUGGUUUGUGGAAGAGGCAAAGGAGAAAUCUAUUUAUAAAUAUGUAACCAUGCUUGGAAACAUUGGACAAGAAUAUCACUAUUCCCUAUUGCUAUGCCUGGGCAGACAUCACUAAUUGAUCACAGCACUCUCCCCAGUGAGUUUGGACAGAGUCACACAAUUUUAUGCAAUGUUCCAAGCAGCCACUACCACUGGUUGGAAUUACAUGUGAAGUCAAUCCUAUCUGAUGUCCUAGAGCCAGUAUCUCAGCGGAUGAAAAUUUUAAGUGCCUAAAGGAGGGUGAGGAUCGUGCCAAAGUGGUAUUUUCUUUCACAACUUACAUAUACCAGCAACUAGAAAGAAACAAUAAAGGAAGUAGCAACA